rnacentral:rRNA from 1 species
CGCGUAGGCGGUCUCUUAAGUCAGAUGUGAAAGCCCGGGGCUUAACCCCGGAAGUGCAUUUGAAACUAAGGGACUUGAGUAUGGGAGAGGGAAGUGGAAUUCCUGGUGUAGAGGUGAAAUUCGUAGAUAUCAGGAGGAACACCGGUGGCGAAGGCGACUUCCUGGACCAAUACUGACGCUGAGGCGCGAAGGCGUGGGGAGCAAACAGGAUUAGAUACCCUGGUAGUC